GCAUAACUUUCCCUCACAUUCUUUCUUUUUCUCUGAGAAACCUUAUCUUCUUACUCACCCUUUCAUUUCAAUGUCUGCAUAUCAAUUCCAAACACCAAAUUAGAGAAAUCAAACUUAAUCACUAAAUGCACACAUAUGAAGCCCCUUUUCACCUCUGCAACAUCUCGAUCUCUCUUCCUCUUCCAAUUUUCCAGCCGUCGGAGCCGGUUAACGGGCCGACCAAACCCACUGACACCAUCUCUACCCCCCCCCCAUCUCGGUCUCCCUGUUCACCUGAAUGGCCGGCCGACCACCACCUGUGGUGGCGGCGUUCAACGGCUGCAACAACAAUGGCGUACGGCGGCGACAAGUCUAGAGAGGCGGAGAGAAACGGUGAGAGAGAGAGAGGGAACAGAGAAGCUCACCGAAGAAACCCGACGUGACCGGAGACGUAUGGGGUUCGCAACGGGAUUCACGCAUCACGACUUUCGUGACGUAUAGUUCCGUUGAUCCGUCGGGGAUAGACGAGCCUUGUCGGAGGUGCUUAAAGGCUGCCAAAGGAGCCUACGCGUGUGGGAGUUUCAGCGGGUUCACCGGAGACCUACCGGAGCACUCGAAGACGUCACCGGAGCUCGACGACGAAGUCACGACAUGAAUUGAUACUCCACAGUUGCGGAUAACCACUCUCGUUCGUGCCCGUGGAUUCUCAAUCUUUACUCGUGCGCUUAUUCACAAGGAUUCUUAUACGCAAUCAAUGCCAUAGAUCCAGCUAUCUUUGUUAAUGGAGUAGGAUUCAAGAAAUUUUUUUUGAAUUAUAAAGGUGUUCCUUCAGGUUUUUCGCAUGAUGCGGAGGAAGCUUUAUUCAUGUCAUAUUUUGAGGGUUCUUAUUAGUUGAAGCAAAAGGGUAGUCUCUUUCGUAUUAGCUACUUUUAGAGAUAUAAUAUGCAUUUUGGAGCUAACAAACAAUAUAGUAAAAGGAUAGUCUUUUUGUAUUAGCUACUUUUAGAGAUAUAAUAUGCAUUUUGGAGCUAACAAUAUAGUUAAUGAUUAUUUCCAUGAUUUGAAAUUUUGAACAAAGCCUAGAUGUGGAUAUGUACACAUAUUUAACCAGUCAACUUUUGUUCAUCCACUCAUGAAAGACUACAAAAUCCAUGUUUCAUUCAGCAGCUUCAACUUUUUC